rnacentral:rRNA from 1 species
GACAGAGGCCCCAAGCGUUAGGCGGAAUCACUGGGCUUAAAGCGUGUGUAGGCGGAUCGUUAAGUGUCUUGUGAAAUCCCACGGCUCACCCGUGGAACUGCUGGGCAUACUGGCGAUCUUGGGCCAACUAGGGGCAGCCGGAACAAGCGGUGGAGCGGUGAAAUGCGUAGAUAUCGCUUGGAACGCCGAAGGUGAAAACAGGCUGCUGGGGUUGCGCCGGACGC